CGGGGUGUAGCUCAGCUUGGUAGAGCACUGCCUUCGGGAGGCAGGGGUCGGAGGUUCGAAUCCUCUCACCCCGACCA
rnacentral:tRNA from 1 species